AUACGUAGGGGGCGAGCGUUGUCCGGAAUGAUUGGGCGUAAAGGGCGCGUAGGCGGCCCGGUAAGUCUGGAGUGAAAGUCCUGUUUUUAAGAUGGGAAUUGCUUUGGAUACUGUCGGGCUUGAGUGCAGGAGAGGUAAGUGGAAUUCCCAGUGUAGCGGUGAAAUGCGUAGAGAUUGGGAGGAACACCAGUGGCGAAGGCGACGUACAGGACUGUAACUGACGCUGAGGCGCGAAAGUGUGGGGAGCAAACAGGAUUAGAUACCCUGGUAGUCCACACUGUAAACGAUGAAUGCUAGGUGUAAGAGGUAUCGACCCCUUUUGUGCCGGAGUCAACACAAUAAGCAUUCCGCCUGGGGAGUACGGCCGCAAGGUUGAAACUCAAAUGAAUUGACGGGG
rnacentral:rRNA from 1 species